rnacentral:misc_RNA from 1 species
CCAAGAGAAAUCUUUCAACACUGAAAGAUCUUUUCCUUUGUGCUGGCUUUGACCGUAUGUAAUUUUGGGACUUUAAAAUGGUUCGCAAGGGCCGGUCCCAAAAACAAUAUAUCAUCCUUAUGAAAUUUUUUCUGAACAAUUAAACAAAUGAUAAUUUUGUUUAAAAA